rnacentral:tmRNA from 1 species
GGGGGUGUCCUGGCUUCGACGGGGGUUGCGAAGUCGGCCGGUGCAUGCCGAGGGGGCAGCUUUCCUCGUUAAUCCAGCGGCAAACUCAUAGUUGCCAACGACGACAACUACGCUCUGGCCGCCUAAGGCCUAGCCCCGAACCCACUUGUGCCCGUGCUCGUGGAUGUAGGGUCAUCAUCACGGGAUGGCCGGCGGCGGCGACCCGUCAACCGCCGGCGAGAUGAAGCGGGUGUGUCUGCCGGUGCGCUUCGCGCGAUGUGUUGCCGGCACGACGAGACAGAACAUCGCGCUAAGCAUGUAGUACCGGAGACGGAGUGCUCUCGGACGCGGGUUCGACUCCCGCCACCUCCACCA